rnacentral:misc_RNA from 1 species
CCAAUAGCGUAUAUUAAAGUUGUUGCAGUUAAAAAGCUCGUAGUUGAAUUUUGGAUUCUACCAGUCGGUCCAUCUUUUGAUGAGUACUGGUUGUGUGGGGUCUAUCCGCCUGGUAAUACGUAAUGUCCUUUAUUGGAUGUUGCGGGUAGUCAGGACCUUUACCUUGAAAAAAUUAGAGUGUUUAAAGCAGGCUUAUGCCGGAAUACAUUAGCAUGGAAUAAUAGAAUAGGACGAAGUUGUUUUAUUUUGUUGGUUUCUAGGACAACCGUAAUGAUUAAUAGGGAUAGGUGGGGGCAUUAGUAUUCAAUUGUCAGAGGUGAAAUUCUUGGAUUUAUUGAAGACUAACUAUUGCGAAAGCAUUUGCCAAGGAUGUUUUCAUUAAUCAAGAACGAAAGUUAGGGGAUCGAAGACGAUCAGAUACCGUCGUAGUCUUAACCAUAAACUAUGCCGACUAGGGAUCGGGCGAUGUUGUUUCAAUGACUCGCUCGGCACCUUAUG